rnacentral:lncRNA from 1 species
UUGGGAACGAGGUCACAUCUUCAUAGUACGUGUUCACAAAACUGUGUUUGGUUAGAAAAACUUAGGAUUUUCUCCCAAAGGAAUAUACAACUUAAGCUGGAAUAACAAAAAAAAAAACAUUUCGAUUUUUUUUACCUCCUUCCUCUUCAACUAUAUACUAUAUGUGGCCCUUGAACUAAUGUAAUUCGAGCAAUAUUGACGAGUCUUUUGUAGAUGAAACAUGCGUCAUACAUAUAUAUACAUAGGUUUAUAAACAUGUAUUGUGCAGAUGUUGCGUGUGUUAUGUUUUCUGUUAUUUUUAAUAAUCAAACUGAAAAGAGAAACAAAAAAUGUUACGAAACAAAACAUCGUAUCAUUAUGUACAUUGAAGGACCUUAAACAUUUUACAAGAUGACCUGAUAUGGGAAUUUGUUAAUUUUGAGCAUGACGGGUUAAACAAAACUAAUGGGCAAACAUUAUGUCAUGGUUAGUUUGAUUUAUAAACCGCGAAAAUGUCGGCAACACUAUUUGGUUUCAUAUAAUAUAGAAUAAAACAUUUUUUAAAACAAUAAAGAGACCUUAUU